rnacentral:lncRNA from 1 species
GAUUAUAUAUUUUUUAAUAAAAAUGAAAAUUUUAUUUAUCACCAUAAAACAAGUUACAAUAGCCUAAUCAGCCUGUAUAUAACAUACAGCGUCAGGUGACCCCCAAGAGGACAAACCCUCUGAAUACAUAUUAACCAUCCUUGAUACUCCAACCAAUAUAAACACAGAGAAAUACAAAAAGGCAUACAAUCAUGACUGCAGCUGCCUUCUUAGUCCAUCCCGUUUCGAUAUUACCUGCAGCAACACAAUUCAACCUAAACCAAACAUCAUUCCUUGAUCCCUGUAGACAGCCUCAACAUUCUACCUGCACUCUUGAAGAUCCUUCACAAACAUUAUAGUCUACAGCCACUGUACUCCCUGCAUGAUAGAAACCUGCAAACAGUUUCAACCUUUCCACACCAGCCAUACAUGAAUAAGGGAACAAAACUAAGCCAAGUAAAAAUCCAUAAAAGUAUUAUGUGAGACUCCAACAGAUUAGAAAUCAUAGAAAAUUACAAGAACCAACCUGAUUGAUAGUUACUAACCAUUGUUGCAGAUUAACUAAUUAAAUCCAAUGUCCAAGAAAUAAAACCAGAAAAUAUGAAUACUAAAAUGUAACUUCAUACCAAGCAAUUAAUUAAGCAAUACUCAUUUCAUGGUCUCAGGCAUUAUCAUUCUCCCAUGAAUUUAGUUAUUCACUUAAGUAUAUGAUAACUGUAUUAAUAGUGUCCAGAUUAUUGAAAACUAACCUACUGAUCAAGGUUGCCAGAUUUAAUUAACACACCUUCAGCUGCUACCAUUCUCUACUGUUGUGUGUGUGCCUUGUACACUGCUUGUCUCAUUAUUGUUGCCCUGUACAAACAUAGAGUCAUCAGCCAACACAUGCAAAGUGCUUGCUCGCUGCUGCUGCCCAUGGUCACCAGAAAAACGCUACAAACCAUUCCCUGCACUGAACAUUUUGUCUCAUAACAUCAAAAUUCAGCCACAGACUGCAAGUUUGCAGCCAACUCUUAAAAGCAAGAGAUAUCCCUUACUUCCAGUAAGUCCAUAGAAAAAAAAACUUUGAAUUAAAGCAUUUCUGCAAUAAAAUUUUUAACUCAAAUGGAAGGCUCAACAUAAACAAGAUUGUAGAAACAAAUUUAGAAUAAGACAUAGAUGUUGCAAACCACCUCUGGGAGUCAAUAUUGUCGAACAUUGGAAGUCUUUAGUGUUAAGUGUGAACCAAACUUUUCAAGGUGACAAAUCAGUGACAUUCUUUAAUUAAGUGAGACUCCAAGUCUCCAACAGACUAGUAAUCACAGAUAAUUACAAACCAACCUGAUUUAUAGAAAUUUUUGAAUCUUCAAUUUUAACAU